GUUUGGUCCCUAUCUGCAGUGGGCGUUGGAAGUUUGACGGGGGCUGCUCCUAGUACGAGAGGACCGGAGUGGACGAACCUCUGGUGUACCGGUUGUAACGCCAGUUGCAUAGCCGGGUAGCUAAGUUCGGAAGAGAUAAGCGCUGAAAGCAUCUAAGCGCGAAACUCGCCUGAAGAUGAGACUUCCCUUGCGGUUUAACCGCACUAAAGGGUCGUUCGAGACCAGGACGUUGAUAGGUGGGGUGUGGAAGCGCGGUAACGCG
rnacentral:rRNA from 1 species